GACGAACGCUGGCGGCGUGCUUAACACAUGCAAGUCGAACGGAAAGGCCCUGCUUGCAGGGUACUCGAGUGGCGAACGGGUGAGUAACACGUGGGUGAUCUGCCCUGCACUUCGGGAUAAGCCUGGGAAACUGGGUCUAAUACCGGAUAGGAGCCAUUUUUAGUGUGAUGGUUGGAAAGUUUUUUCGGUGUAGGAUGAGCUCGCGGCCUAUCAGCUUGUUGGUGGGGUAAUGGCCUACCAAGGCGGCGACGGGUAGCCGGCCUGAGAGGGUGGACGGCCACAUUGGGAAUGAGAUACGGCCCAGACCUCCAAGGGAGGCAGCAGUGGGGAAUAUUGCACAAUGGGCGCAAGCCUGAUGCAGCGACGCCGCGUGGGGGAUGACGGCCUUCGGGUUGUAAACUCCUUUCGCUAGGGACGAAGCUUUUUGUGACGGUACCUAGAUAAGAAGCACCGGCUAACUACGUG
rnacentral:rRNA from 1 species